UACAGAGGGGGCAAGCGUUAUUCGGAAUUAUUGGGCGUAAAGGGCGCGUAGGCGGCAUUGCAAGUGGAAGGUGAAAUCCCUCGGCUUAACCGAGGAACUGCCCUCCAAACUGCGUUGCUUGAGGCCGGGAGAGGUGAGUGGAAUUCCCAGUGUAGCGGUGAAAUGACGUAGAUAUUAGGAAGAACACCAGUGGCGAAGGCGGCCCACUGGAUCGGUACGUGACGCU
rnacentral:rRNA from 1 species